rnacentral:lncRNA from 1 species
ACCGCCCGAAGGCCGGGGCGCCAAGUUCGUCAUGCGGAAAAAGGCCACAAAAACGGGUGGGCUAUAGCCUUGGGGGGUGGGGCUGGCCAACUUCGUCCGCCGGACUCGGAAUAGCGCGAGACUUUGCGAGGCGCCUCCGUGUGGUACAAAAUAGGCCGCGGGCACAGCCGCGCCCAAAAAUAACCGCCCGAAGGCCGGGGCGCCAAGUUCAUCCAGCGGACUCGGAAUGGCGCGAGACUUUGCGAGGCGCCUCCGUGUGGUACAAAAUAGGCCGCGGGCACAGCCGCGUCCAAAAAUAACCGCCCGAAGGCCGGGGCGCCAAGUUCGUCAUGCGGAAAAAGGCCACAAAAACGGGUGGGCUAUAGCCUUGGGGGGUGGGGCUGGCCAACUUCGUCCGCCGGACCCGGAAUGGCGCGAGACUUUGCGAGGCGCCUCCGUGUGCCAAAAAUAGGCCGCGGGCACAGCCGCGCCCAAAAAUAACCGCCCGAAGGCCGGGGCGCCAAGUUCGUCCAGCGGAAAAAGGCCACAAAAACGGGUGGGCUAUAGCCUUGGGGGGUGGGGCUGGCCAACUUCGUCCGCCGAACUCGGAAUGGCGCGAGA